rnacentral:rRNA from 1 species
UAAUACGGAGAGUGCAAGCGUUGUUCGGAAUUAUUGGGCGUAAAGGGCAUCUAGGUGGCCCGUCAAGUCAGAUGUGAAAGCCCUCGGCUCAACCGAGGAAGUGCAUUUGAAACUGGCGGGCUUGAGUUCCUGAGGGGGCGGCGGAAUUUCCGGUGUAGAGGUGAAAUUCGUAGAUAUCGGAAGGAACACCAGUGGCGAAGGCGGCCGCCUGGCAGGAUACUGACACUAAAGUGCGAAAGCGUGGGGAGCAAACAGGAUUAGAUACCCUGGUAGUCCACGCCGUAAACGAUGGGUACUGGCCGUACUGGGAGUUGACCCCCGGUGUGGCGUAGCUAACGCGUUAAGUACCCCGCCUGGGGAGUACGGCCGCAAGGCUA